CCUACGGGAGGCAGCAGUAGGGAAUAUUGCUCAAUGGGGGAAACCCUGAAGCAGCAACGCAGCGUGGAGGAUGAAGGUUUUCGGAUUGUAAACUCCUUUUGUUAGAGAAGAUAAUGACGGUAUCUAACGAAUAAGCACCGGCUAACUCCGUGCCAGCAGCCGCGGUAAUACGGAGGGUGCAAGCGUUACUCGGAAUCACUGGGCGUAAAGAGCGCGUAGGCGGGAUAGAAAGUCAGAUGUGAAAUCCUAUGGCUUAACCAUAGAACUGCAUUUGAAACUGUUAUUCUAGAGUAUGGGAGAGGUAGGUGGAAUUCGUGGUGUAGGGGUAAAAUGCGUAGAGAUCAAGAGGAAUACUGAUUGCGAAGGCGACCUGCUAGAACAUAACUGACGCUGAUGCGCGAAAGCGUGGGGAGCAAACAGGAUUAGAUACCCCAGUAGUC
rnacentral:rRNA from 1 species